CGCACAGCAACAUUGCUACAUCACUGACAUGUCACAAAAGGGGAGGGGUAGGCAGGGGUUACACUAGUUUAACCUUGGCAAACAGGUCCAGACAAGUCCUUGGUACAAGAUUAGCAUAAGCAGACAUGGCAGGGCAAGACUUGGGUAUAAGAUUAGCACAGGCAAACACCUCUGAAGUCCCACCACCCAAAGUGCAAUAGAACUUCCUUUGAAUGUCUGGACCUCUUGGCAAGUUUGGUGAUGGGAUUAGGCUUUCCUUGGCCAACAAUCAGCUCAGCAAUUGUCACCUCUGGGAACUUCCUGGAGUCCUUUUUCAAGGGGAAAAUAGCUUUGGAAUGGAGGAAACUGGCAAAGGAGUUGAUUUUAUAUUAUUUUUAAAGCUAGGUAACUUCCCUGAGCUGUCAAGUUGAAAGGAUACUGAAAUAUACUCAGAGUCGCAAAGUGAUUUCAUGCUCUUUAUCCAGCUCAUAGUGGUGAGGAGGAAUGAAUGAAAGUCCCCUCAAAGUAUCUGCUUUAUAUACAUUAUUUACACAAUGGGCUGCACAUGAUUGGCUAAUUCCAGAAUUCUACUGUAAGCCAAUCAGGUUGUGGAUUCGCUUCUAUCUGGAGAAUGAUUGGGUGGUUCCUGCCAACCAAUCAUACUGCUGCAUUGUUCUAGGACCAAUCAGACUGCUGCAUUCUGAAUCCUAUUGUUCUAGGAAGGCAAGGGAAGGUCUGGAAGCAGCUCCAGGCUCAUAACCUCUUGUGCAGGUGCUGGGUCGGGGCCUGUUUCCGGUAGUGGUAGCCUGCUGAGGGCGUCCGCAUGGCCCAUCGCCUUCCCAGGGCGGUGAAUCAGUGCAUACUGGUAGCUGGCAAGGAAAAUUGACCACCUGAGGACGCGAGGAGACAGCACUUGGGGGGUCUGCUUUUCGGGGGGCAAACAAGCCAAGCAACGACUUGUGGUCAGUACAAGAAAUCAUGGAAUUUUUUUACUCCCUUCACGAUUGCCAGACCCUCCUUGUCGAUUUGCGAGUAGUUCCGCUCGGUUGCGUUGAGUGUCUGGGAAAAGUAUGCCACCGGUACCUCUCUUCCAUCCGGGAGUUGGUGUCCCAGGACAGCGCCGAUGCCAUAGGGCGAGGCGUCGCAUGCUAGCACCACCGGCAGCCUCUCAUCGAAGUGUGCCAAGACCGAGUUUGAGACAAGCAAGUCCUUGACUGCCUGGAAUGCGGCCUCCUGGCGCUGGCCCCACACCCAAGGGGCCCACUUGUCCAGGAGUCUGUGUAGGGGCUCUGCUACCGCCGCCUUGUGGGGAAGGAAGGAAUGGUAAAAGUUCAAUAGUCCCAAGAAGGCCUGGAGUUCAGUCUUGCUCUUGGGCUCUGGGGCAUCACAAAUGGCCCGUACCUUGUCCCCAGUUGGGUGGACCCCUUCUGCGUCCACCAUAAAUCCCAGAAAGUCCACCUGAGGCACUCCUAGUAGACAUUUUUCCCGCUUCACCUUGAGACCUGCCGUCUGGAAACGGUGCAGAACGGUGCGGAGGCGGUCCUCAAACUCCUCUGGUGUGGGCCCGGCAAUCAACACAUCAUCGAAGAAGGGGGUGACGCUAGGAAUCCCUUUAAGGAGAGAGUACAUUAGAUUCUGGAAUAUGCCUGGUGCCACGAUGACACCGAAUUGCAGCCGCUUUACCCUGAACGCUCCUCUGUGCAUCACAAUCAUCUGUGUCUCUGCUGUGGCCUCAUCUACUGGCAGCUGUUGAUAUGCUUGGGCCAAGUCCAGCUUGCCAAAAAUUUUCAACCCAGCCAGGGUGGCAAGGACAUGGCUGACCACUGGCACUGGGUAUGCAUGGGCCGUGAUGGCCUUGUUUAUGGUACAUUUGUAGUCUGCGCAGAUGCGGGCCGAACCAUUAGGCUUGACGUGUGUGACGAUUGGGGUUUCCCGGGGGCAUUAGGUACUGGCUCCAGCACUCCUUGCUCCACGAGCUGGUCCAAUUCCUCAUCUAUACGGGGUUUCAGGGCGAACGGGACCCGGCGGGCCUUGAGCCUGACCGGUCGUACUGCGGGGUCAAGCUGUAGAGCAAUGGGGGGGCCGUAUACUGUCCCAAUUUCCCAUCGAAAACCCCCGGAAAUUCCUUGCAUAUGGCGUCCACAUCCACUUGUAAGCUAGUGUGGUUCACCCCGGUGACGGCUAGCCCCAGUGGUCCAAACCAUGCCAAUCCCAGUAAGCUAAUGUAGGGGCCCUUGACCACAAGCAAGUCCAGUUGCCGCAUCCGCCCUCGGUAUUGCACCCUGAAGGUCCCCACCCCCAUUGUGGGGACCUUACGUUUCUGGAAGUCCAGGAGGGUGAAUGGGGCCGGCCUGAGUUUGGGACCCCCAGUAGGACACAGUUUCCUUAAGGUCCUUGCCGAGAUUAUGGAUAGAGUUGAACCCGUGUCAAGCUUCAUGUGCCAUGGGGCCCCCUCUAUCUGUACCUCUACAUAAAUUUUCUCUACGUUGGGGUGGGGCAAUUGGUAUACCUGGAAGUCCAUGAGCUCCGUCGAGUUGCCUUGGUGCGUUGGGCCCCGGGACCUGGGGCUCUUGGAUUGGUCAUCUGAUGCCUGGCGUCGGGUGGGCCAAGCCCGACACACCCGGGCGAUGUGUCCAGAUUUUCUGCACUGCCUGCACUCUGUGUUGCGGAAAUGGCAGGUCCUCCUCUCGUGACUUUCCCCGCAGCUUGCGCAGUUCCCUCCUUCUCGUCGAGGCAGGUGUGGUAUGUGGGCUGCUUGAGUGCGCUGCUGUACUCAGUGCACCUCCUCCCUAUCGGAUCCUGAGUCGUCGGUGAGGUCUUCGUGGUGGACCCUCAGUUGGGAUGUCAGGCUCGGCCGUGCCUCUUGCGUCGACCUCUCGGCAGCUUCCGUUGCCAGGGCCUCCUCCAGAGUGACCUGGAACGUUAGAUCCUUCUUAGCGUAGAGGCGGCGUUGCAGCUUCUCAUCCUUCAGGCCACCGACGAGGCGGUCACAAAGCAUGUUCUCCAGCUCUGAGAAGUUGCAGAAUUGGGCAGCUUGGCGGAGAGAGGUCACAAACCCAGUUAUGGUUUCCCCAGGGGCUUGCCACUUUGCAUAGAAGGCAUUUCGACGAGCCACCACUGAGGCCUGCGGCGAAAAGUGCCCCUUCAGCUGUUCCAUUAUUGUUUUGUAUGGAACAGUAGUGACGUCUUCAGGCGCAAGGAGAGCCCGGGCGAUUUCAAACGUCUCCUCUCCGCAGACGCUGAAGAAUAUCGCCCUCUUCUUGGCGUCUUCUUUGUCGGUGACCCCUUUGGCUUCUAGGAGGAAGGUGAAACGGGAGGCGUACGCUUCCCAGUCUCCAGAUGCUGCGUUGAACAGCAAGAAGCUGCUGUCGGUUGCCAUUCUGAGUUCCUUGUGUCCCGGAGCUGAAGCCUGGAUACAUGGUGCGAGGCAGCGGUGCGGCAGGUGGCGGUGCUGCGGUGCUGUGUGUGGCAGUCAGCUCAGCGGGAUCCCACCUUCAUCGCCAGUGAAAUAUACUCAGAGUCGCAAAGUGAUUUCAUGCUCUUUAUUCAGCUCAUAGUGGUGAGGAGGAAUGAAUGAAAGUCCCCUCAAAGUAUCUGCUUUAUAUACAUUAUUUACACAAUGGGCAGCACAUGAUUGGCUAAUUCCAGAAUUCUACUGUAAGCCAAUCAGGUUGUGGAUUCGCUUCUAUCUGGAGAAUGAUUGGGUGGUUCCUGCCAACCAAUCAUACUGCUGCAUUGUUCUAGGACCAAUCAGACUGCUGCAUUCUGAAUCCUAUUGUUCUAGGACCAAUCAGACUGCUGCGUUUUGGAUCCUAUUGUUCUAGGACCAAUCAGACUGCUGCAGUUUGGAUCCUAUUCAACUCAGUACAUAACAGAUACAUUCAGGCAUAAUAUUGGUAACAUUUAACUUUAAAGAUGUGCCCCCCCCCCGUAAUUUCCAUUACAGUUUACCCACCGCUUGACCAUCAAUAAAAAAAAAUCCUCAAUGGCGUUUGCAGAAAAGAUAAAGCAGUAAAAAUCAACUAUAAGAAGAGUUAACAAUAAUCUACAACUUUUGAAAAGUUGAAAUAAGUCUAAUCUAAAAACAUUAAAACUCACAUCAACUUUCUGAAUGUCUGGAUAGACUUUUCUAAGCUAAAAUAUGCCCAAAAGAGGCCCAGUGAAGGUGCCUGCCAGAUAACAGCAGAGUUAAGAGCAGAGUUCUCCUUGCAUCCGCAGUACUCAUAAUUCCAACAAAAUAAGAGAAGCCUAAACCCACCAAAGUGAAAAACCUCACAGGAUCCACACCUCCGUUAGCCAUGGGACCAUCCUUUGCAAUUGAAAUAAAG